rnacentral:rRNA from 1 species
CCGGUAAACGGCGGCCGUAACUAUAACGGUCCUAAGGUAGCGAAAUUCCUUGUCGGGUAAGUUCCGACCUGCACGAAUGGCGUAAUGAUGGCCAGGCUGUCUCCACCCGAGACUCAGUGAAAUUGAACUCGCUGUGAAGAUGCAGUGUACCCGCGGCAAGACGGAAAGACCCCGUGAACCUUUACUAUAGCUUGACACUGAACAUUGAGCCUUGAUGUGUAGGAUAGGUGGGAGGCUUAGAAGUGUGGACGCCAGUCUGCAUGGAGCCGACCUUGAAAUACCACCCUUUAAUGUUUGAUGUUCUAACGUUGACCCGUAAUCCGGGUUGCGGACAGUGUCUGGUGGGUAGUUUGACUGGGGCGGUCUCCUCCUAAAGAGUAACGGAGGAGCACGAAGGUUGGCUAAUCCUGGUCGGACAUCAGGAGGUUAGUGCAAUGGCAUAAGCCAGCUUGACUGCGAGCGUGACGGCGCGAGCAGGUGCGAAAGCAGGUCAUAGUGAUCCGGUGGUUCUGAAUGGAAGGGCCAUCGCUCAACGGAUAAAAGGUACUCCGGGGAUAACAGGCUGAUACC